AACGCGAAGAACCUUACCAAGUCUUGACAUCCCGGUGACGAAUGCAGAGAUGUGUUUUCCCUUCAGGGCACUGGAGACAGGUGGUGCAUGGUUGUCGUCAGCUCGUGUCGUGAGAUGUUGGGUUAAGUCCCGCAACGAGCGCAACCCUUAUGCUUAGUAGCCAGCGGCAAGGCCGGGCACUCUAGGCAGACUGCCAGGAAUAACCUGGAGGAAGGCGGGGAUGACGUCAAAUCAUCAUGCCCCUUAUGACUUGGGCUACACACGUGCUACAAUGGCGCUGACAAAGGGAAGCAAACCCGCGAGGGGGAGCAAAUCCAGAAACAGCGUCCCAGUUCGGACUGUAGUCUGCAACCCGACUAUACGAAGCUGGAAUCGCUAGUAAUCGCAGAUCAGAAUGCUGCGGUGAAUACGUUCCCGGGUCUUGUACACACCG
rnacentral:rRNA from 1 species